rnacentral:lncRNA from 1 species
CUGUGGCUGGUUCUGCGGUGUGCGGCCAGCCAUGGAGCGCUCUGGGCCCAGCGAAGUGACAGGCUCAGACGCAUCGGGACCGGACCCGCAGCUUGUGGUCACCAUGGGCUUCACGGGGUUCGGGGUUCGGUAAAAAAGCUCACACAUUUGACUUGGAAGCAAUGUUUGAACAAACUCAAAGAACAGCUGUGGAAAGAAGUCACAAAACACUGGUUCAACCCAAUGGAAAUGGAUUGAAAGAGUGAAAGUCACUGGUCUCAAAGAAUCUACGGAAUUUAGCAUUUUGAAAAUCACAGAGCAAUUUUGGGUAGGUAUUCACAUGCACUAAAAAACCAGGCAAACAUCUGACUCCCAGGAUAAAGUGACUGAGAGCAGUAGAAGACUUGUUGAGCCUUAAGGAAUAAGAGGAAAAUUAUGUUAUGAAGUGCAGGAACAGCACAGACCCAGACGAGGGGAUGCAGCCCGGAGCCAGUAACCCGGCGCCUCCUCCUCCCCAGGGCGCAGCGCUGGCUGCUCCCCGGAUACCGUGAUCACACGUCCCAGGUCCUGAGAGCGCCUCAUAGGUAGACAGUUCUUUGGGACUUUUGGGACGCAGCACUUGAAGAGAGGUUUACCUAAACUUUCCUCCUGGGAGCCUGUCAUCAUUUGAAAGUAACAGAAGAAAGCUGUCAGGCUGAGGAAAGUUUCAACAGGCACUUGGUGAGAAUGGGAAGCAUCCAUUCAUUGGGAAAUCACGGGGACAGAGGAGGAAUUCACGGGAUCAGAGCACUGAGAAACUCCAGAGGCUUCUGGUUCACCGCCCUGAUUCCACAGAUGUGGGUCAGAGGCAGAGAUGGAAGUUGGAAUGGACAAGCCUGCCCUCUCCUCAGCUCUCCAUGGCUCUGUCCUCAGGCUGUUUCUGCAAUUUGACAUGAGGCCUGGCCCCAGGGAAACCAGUGGGGCCUCAUCUCCUCCCUGUGCUGCUCUGAGGUGGAGCCUUCUCAGGGUCAGUCCAGCUCUGGAGCCCCUCUCCAGCUCGGUCACCAAAGCUGUCUGGUCCCAGGGCAGUGUGGAGUGACAGGCACGCCAGCCAAUCCAAUCGGCCAUUUCAUACCCAAUGCAUGUGACUGAUAAAGAGAUAACACCCUGUCUCCAAGACACAGGCUUUACAUAAACAGCUUUAAUGACUUCUUCACUUAGGGACAAGACUCCUUAGUGGUGGAACCUCAGGCAUCCAUGCAGGAUGUAAGAAAGCUCCCGUAUAUACAUGAACUGAGAAGUGUGUAGAAGAGUAAAU